UUUUGUUUUGCACCUUUAAUUAAUAACGUUCUGAUUUCUGCAUCUUGCUCUGUUAGUUCACGAAAUUACUCUAAACCUUGUGGUAACCUAGACAAGGCGUCUGCAAUAACAUUCUGACUUCCUUUAAUAUAAAUGACAUUGAAAUUGAAUUCUUGUAACUAUAGACACCAUCUAGCUAAUCUAGGGUGCAAUAGUUUUCAUGUUAAUAGAAAUGACAUUGACUGAUGCUCAUAGUAAUGUUUAGUAUUCUUACCCCACAAAAAAAAUUCAAACAUUUUAAAUGCCCAUAUUACAUCUAAAUUUUCCAAUUCUGAAACAGAGUAAGAUCUUUCUGCUUCUGAUAAUGCAGGGUGUAUACGACCCAGGACAACCGGAAGAUCCGCGAAAAACCUGGGAAUUUUUUCAUCCGGGAGAAACCCGGGAAUUUUUCAUUGUUUUAGUUUUCUGUCAAUUUUUGUAAUUUUGACUGGUAUGAACCGAUACUCUAACUAAGGAGAUUACUGUAUAUCGCUACUGCAGAAUAAUACUCCAACAAUAAAACAUAAACGAGAGAAAAAAACGAAAAUAACUUAAAAUGCAAAGUUAAUGCGCCGUAUACAACAACGAUACACAGCAAGCAUCUGCCGACAGCAAAAUGUGUCGCAGGCUUUAGGAAGCUAAUGCAAUGUUUCAUAACAACAAAUUGCUUCCGAUGAGCGUGAAGUCACAACUGUUUACAUUAGAUUCGUUUUAGCAGGUACGAGUGGGUUCAUGAGCUUAGUCGCGUUUGAGUAGUAGAUUCUCCCGCUUCUGGCUAUAGGAAUGUGGCUGUUGGUUGUGCAAGCAGUCGUUGCAAGCAUCUAGAUGCUACCGGGGAAAGGGGGCGCCAAUUCAUAUUCUUGAGAAGAAAAGACUUGUUUCACAAAACUCCUAGCAUCCAGCGUACGUUGGUCUAUCGAUUAUUCAUAUGAUUUUGAAACGCAUCCCUGUCGGUUUUUGAACACAUUUUAAUUGAAUUCUGAAUGAAUCAUAAGUUGAUGCUUGAAUACAUGUAUAAUGUGCGUGAUGUCUCUUUCAGGAGAAUCCUCGUUGCAUCUAGAAGUAAACUUUCCGCAGACAAAAGGGGACGGGGCUAUAAGAGCUGAGCAGAGUAAAGAUGAACGGAUGAAUGCCAAUCGCUGUCGGAUUAUAUGUUUGAUUGGGUCUGCAAAUGAUCAGCAUUGUUAUAAUUACUAGCGUAAUCCAUAAAUUCAGACUACCAGAAUGGAAAUAAACGACUAACAAGAAUAACAGUUAAGAGUCGCUGUUAAGGAAUCCAGGUCAUGUAUCAUGCCGCACUCUACCACUGCUACUUCCGCUAUUUCUGUUACUUCCGCGAUUUCUGCGACUUACCACCGUAUGAAAAAGUUACAUCUGUCCACACAGAAAAUUGCAUCUCAACAAAACUGUCAUUAGUGCCCGAACUACAUUUCAGUCACUCAGUAAAGUGAUAACUCAAAAUACCGUUGUCAACAGAUCUGGAGAAAUUGCCACUGCGCCUGUAGACUGUCUUCAUCAGACGAGAGAUUAAUUUCGAAGUGUUUCGAUGAUCUUAAUUACUUAAGUGAGAUCGUUCUUGCAAAUGUGAAAUAUAUCCCAUUGAGUGGCUUUCAUUACAGCAAAUAUUAGCAGUACUACUAUGUCAAUUACAUUACUUGUAAUUAAUGACAGCAAAAAUGUUUAAAUAUCCUUGCGAUUUUGCAGACGCAGUUCUGACUCUGAUUACUGGUUGCUGUAUGUCUCUAUCCACAUCAAGGCUCUUGAGAGAGAAUCGUGAAGAUCCAAGACAGCUCUUAGAGGAUUUGCAGAUUAAAAGUGCCAUAAUGAUGAAAUAAGUGUGCAGAAUGAGUGAUUAAACUGUAUUUUAUUGAAGUUGU